rnacentral:misc_RNA from 1 species
GAACUGCGAUAAGUAAUGUGAAUUGCAGAAUUCAGUGAAUCAUCGAGUCUUUGAACGCACAUUGCGCCCCCUGGCAUUCCGGGGGGCAUGCCUGUCCGAGCGUCAUUGCUGCCCUUCAAGCCCGGCUUGUGUGUUGGGUCGUCGUCCCCUCCGGGGGACGGGCCCGAAAGGCAGCGGCGGCACCGCGUCCGGUCCUCGAGCGUAUGGGGCUUUGUCACCCGCUCGAUAAGGACCGGCCUGGCGCCAGCCGGCGUCUCCAACCUUUUUUUCUCAGGUUGACCUCGGAUCAGGUAGGGAUACCCGCUGAACUUAAGC